rnacentral:rRNA from 1 species
AACGAACGCUGGCGGCAUGCCUAACACAUGCAAGUCGAACGCGUGUAGCAAUACACGAGUGGCGGACGGGUGAGUAACGCGUGGGAACCUGCCCAAUGGUAGGGAAUAACUGCGGGAAACUGCAGCUAAUACCCUAUGCUCCCUACGGGGGAAAGAUUUAUCGCCAUUGGAGGGGCCCGCGUCGGGUUAGCUAGUUGGCGGGGUAACGGCCCACCAAGGCUACGAUCCGUAGCUGGUCUGAGAGGAUGAUCAGCCACACUGGGACUGAGAUACGGCCCAGACUCCUACGGGAGGCAGCAGUGGGGAAUAUUGGACAAUGGGGAAACCCUGAUCCAGCAAUGCCGCGUGAGUGAAGAAGGCCUUAGGGUUGUAAAGCUCUUUCGGCGGGGACGAUGGUGACGGUACCCGCAGAAGAAGCCCCGGCUAACUUCGUGCCA